UGAGAUUGCUUUUAUUAUGGAUCACUAUUUGGUCACAGAACAUCUAUGAUGUAAGUCAUCACUGGGAUUGAGACUGAGGGGAGGUCCUGGAGGAGCAGGAUAAUGCAGAGAUGGGGCCCCAGGAGUCAGAAGCCGUGAUGAAAAUACCAGAUGGGGCACGGUUCGAGUUCCCCUCUGACCAUUUUUCAUGUGAGAAGAGAUGUUUCCCUAGAGAGGUGAUCAGCAACAGAGAGGAUGAGAUUGGAGAGAAAGGUUUCUAUACCCCAUCCAUAAAAUGGGAAUAA
rnacentral:lncRNA from 1 species